GAAGAUUAUUUUAAUGAAUUAGAUUUUAAUGAAAGUACUAGAAGGUAGAAUUAGUUCCAAUUGUGAAGGAAAUUAAAGAAUAUAUCCAAGUGUCGAGUAUUUCGUAGUUAAAGAAGUUAAGGAUACUUGGUAGAGUGGUUAUUAAAUUGGUUAUCUUGUAUUAUAUUUCAGGAGAUGAAGAGAAGAUUGAAAUCAUGAUUAGUCCAUAACUUGGUGAGUGGAUAUAAAAAAUUAUUUUUCAGAUAUUAGUAUUUAUUAUUAUUUCAUACAGUUGAUUUUGAUAGAAUGAUUUUUAAAAUAAAGUGAAUUUAUAAUCAGAUACUUUUAAAGUUAAAUUUAAUUCAAUUAAAUCACUUGAUUAGCAUGUUAUUUGAAUAUAACUGUUUCAGUAUAGCUAAAGUUAUUUUUAAAACCACCAGAAAGUACUCAGGUGAUUUUACCUCAGUUUGCACUGGUGUGAAUGUGUUUCCACAGUGUAUGACUAGUUAUGAUGAUUUUACCCGUUCUGCACUAUUGUGAAUGUGUUUCCAUAAUGUAUGACCAGAUUAUCAGAGGUCUUUGGGACCCACCCUUGUAUACACAUAGGCUUUGGGCCGUGAACUAAGGUGAUUAGCCUUUGGGGCAGCUCUGCGUACGUAUGACCAGAUUAUCAGAUUUGAAUGGCUCUGCCUUGUACAUCGAGAUUACUUUGUACAUGAGUAAGGCUUUUCAUUGGGUACUUUUUUGGUGUGAUUUUUCAGUAUUUCUACAGCUUGUCAUAUUUCAGAUUUUAGAAUUCGGUCUGUUUAGUUCUCCGACUAAAGCUUUCAGCUUAUAGUAAUGAUCAGCUGCAAUAUUUUAUAUAUUUUCACGAAUGUCAUAUUAUUUAUAUUCAUUACAUUUUACAAUUACUUAUCUAGAAUGAAGAAUAAAGAAUUUUAUGAUGUAUUCAUGUUUGAUUGUAAAAAGUGUUACCAGAUUUCAGAAUUUCUUAAAGUUUCAAUAGAGCAAGGAUUUUCAGAAAAUAUGCGUAAAUGAAAAAAGUAUGCUUCUUUGCAAACUAUCCACUCACUGAGUUACAAGCUCGUGUUUUGCCACUCUUUUCUGAGUAGAUAGUAGUAGAGUUGAGCAGUCUUGGAGCCUGUCAAUUCACCUAAUUGAGCCACACAUCAGUAGUUGUAUAGCCUACUUUAUCA
rnacentral:lncRNA from 1 species